AUGGAGCUGUGCGGGGGGAAGAAGAGAAGACCGGUCAGUGGACGCCCAGCGCGGGGACUGGGCCCCGGGGCCCUCCCUCUCCAGCCCUCACUGUGACAAGGUCGCUCUUCUCUUCCAGAAAGAGCUCCUCCUCACUUCAGAAGGCAAGCCGAAACCCUUCCUUCCUUUACUUCAAAGGCUGACUCACGUGCGGUUUGUUCAUCAGACCUGGAAAGCCGGUGCAGGGUGGAGGGUGCGGGGAGCUGCUUCCCGGCACCGCGGGGCUGGGCGCCUGCCACACACAGCUCGGCUGCUCACCGGACAGUCCACUUCACGGGAGGGCAAACCGAGCCUCAGAAACCCCCAGCCUUCCAGGUCAGCCUUGACAAGGUCUGAAAAGACCUGGAGUCCCUCCUUCCUUUUGCCCAUCCUAUGACUUUUUUAAUGAGAACGGAGGUACUUUGCUGCAGACACGGGGAGCUCCUCAUCAUGCUAAUCCUCACCCCGUGUUUCUGCCGGCGUGCAGUGUCUCUGCGCUAGCAGCCAGUUUCGGGCAGGGACCAGGACCGCCACCACCACACAGAAAGAUUUGGGACAGACUUAAAUUCCCCCACAUGCACCCUAAGGUAACUCCUCUGUGGCUACAGGUGACCCAGUGAGGGAGCUGGCUUAGAAUCUCUAGUUCUCCCAUGACCUGCAUGCUGGGUGUGAGUCUAGCCCCCAGGAAGAUGAGACGCUGCUCUGAGCGGGUGCAAGGCCUCACUAGGCCCCACCAAGUCUCACCAAGCCUCACCAGGCCUCACCAGACUCCACCAUGGUCUACCAGGCCUCAUCAGACCCCACCACACUCCACCAAGCUCCAUCGAGGCCCCAGCAGCAUCCCCCGCCCCGGCGGGCUUAGAACCUGCCUGCCAUCAGUACUUAAGAGAAACAUUGCCCCAGGAAGCUAAACCCAUAGCACCCAAGCCUGUGCCUUCCUCCCCGGCAUAACUUCACACGCAGGAUCUAUCUGUGAUUUUUCACCGAUCAUGGCUGUAAUUGGUUACUAUAGAAACCCCCUCGCCUUCAAGCCGCCCAGCUGUUAUGCAGAAAAACCAACCACUUGCCACGGUGGCAGGGAGAGGUUGAUCUGUUUUUCCUCUUCGAGUCCGGUUUCUUCCUUUUUAAGUGAUUUAUUUGUUCAGAGAGGAAAAAAAAAGAAGGUGGACAACCAGGAGACAGGCCCCAGCCCACCGCCAGCAGCCAAGAAAUGUGGGGGGCAGGGGGAGCCCCUCCCACAGGGAGAUCUGUAGGGGUCUCCGCUCAUCUUGGUGCAAGGCCAAGAGUGUCCCAGGCUCUGUGUGGCCAUCGCCCGGCCGAGCUCCGUGUGCUGCCCGGACCUGGUCCUGGGACUCCUGCCGACGCCUUGAUGAGAGGCCACAGCCGGAGGAGGAUCUGGCUGUAUCUGCAGGGACCGGGGAGCAGCACAAACAAUCUCUGUCGUCACCCCUCGGGCAGCUCUGAGAUGAGGCAGAGCCAGGACCACUCUUCUCGCUGAUCCUUCUCAGCCUGGGCUGGGCUCUGAGCGUCUCUCAUUCUGUGAUGAACAGGUUCUGGCAGGGCCUCACCCCAGGAAGCCGUCAGGCGUUCACUAAGAUGGCAGGCACCCCCACACUCGUUGGGAGGGAGUCCCUGCAGCACAGCCGACCACACCGCCAACCAUCAGGAGGUCAGGGUGGGCAGAAGUGGCACCGGGUCCCCCAAACUCAAGCAUCCAUAGGCCCCUUAAGAACACACCACCCACGUCACACCCAGAGAGACAGCUCCGAGCAGAAAGACAGACAACACGAAGCGUUGGUGAAGACACAGGAGACGGGAGGCCUAGUACCCUGUUGGGGGGAAUGAAACCCAGAAUGCCCCUGGGCAAAACAGUUUGGCAAUUCAUUAGAACCCUAAAGAUGGCAUUACAGCGACCCAGCUGCCCCCUCUGAGGCAUGGGCAUCUGUCCACGUGAAACCUGCACGUGGAGGCCCAGGGCCACACUCCUCCCAACAGCCAAAGCUCACACAGCCCACGUGUCCAUCAGCUGAGGGACGGAUACAGGGAAUCUGGCCUAAUGAUACAAUGGAGUGUUGCUCAGCCUUUAAAACCACGGAGGGAUUACUUGAUCUUAUGCUUCGAUGGGGCUGUACCUUGAAAACCCUGAGAAGUGAAAGAAGCCAGGCACUCAAGGCUACGAGGCGCACGGUUCCAUUUACAGGAAAUGCAGAGUGGGCAGAUCCAUAGAGACAGAAAGAUGAGCAGUGGCCCCAGGCUUGGGAGAAGGGUUCUGGGGUAUGGGGUUUCUUUUUGGGGUGACGAAAUGUCCUGGAAUUGGGUGAACAACGCCAUGCACAUAUGAAACCCACUAAACUGUACGCUUGUAGUGGGUGAGUUUUUUGCAAUGUAAAUUAUAUUCCAACACGAAUCAAAAGGAAUGUGUGCAAGGGUUGGGGGAUCAUGUGUGGUGCGUGGCAUGGCACCCUAAUCCUGGCCCUGGCGGAUGGGUGGAAGGCAGGGCAGCCCCAGAGCUGCAGGCAUGUGAGCAGGGGGAAGCCAUGGAGACUUUGGCUUCAACCGCCCAGUCCUUGCUGGGACACCCUGAACGUGAGACAAGGCCCUGCCUGAGCACCUGAGAACAACAUCCACACCCUUCAAGAAGGGGUGAGGGCAGCUCCCUCUCAACAGCUUCCGUGAUUUUCAAAUGGGGAACAACACUCCUUGGCCGGCCGCCAUCCAGCUGCUUCCAAACGGGGAGCGACCGCUCCAUCUCACUUUAUUUUCUAGUUUGUGGCUUUCUUGCUUCUCUUCCUUUUAAAUUUUUAUUGAAAUCUUUUUUCCCCAAGAACAGUUUAAUAACAUUUGCUGAAUUGAGAUUCAAUUCACUACCUUCUGUAUAUUUUCUUCACAGAAGAAAAUCACUGUCAAUUAAGGGGACAAAGACAUCUCUUCCACUUACAGCUGAACCUUUCCUUGGGCCGCACGCCUGCUGCGUCAGCCUCCUGGGAGCAGCUGGUGUCUGCCUGGUGGGAGCACCGGCGUAGGGAGAACUGGAAUUGUUCCACCGGGCAACAGCCCAGAACCUUCAGGGUGGGACGGGAUCUGUGCCCGUGGCCAGCCCACCCCAGGUCUUCCACAAAGACACCCACUUCCCUUGACUCCUCCAGGCCCUGUCGUUCUCUGGCUGUGGGGCCCGAGGGAAGGAUGUGUGUUUGAUGAAGUUAGCCGGGCCUGGGCUUGUGGCUUCCUGCUCU